rnacentral:lncRNA from 1 species
CUUGUAUCAGCAAGCACUCACUCUGAUCAGGGUGCCUCACUUCUGCAUAGCAGAUAGUCCUGGUGUCUGCCUGUGCUCUGCUUGCGGGCGCUGUGUAGUGUCUGUGACAGCAGGCCAGCCCUCUGGCCUUCCCUGCAUGACCUGUGGAGGGCAGGUCUAAGGCGGUGACUCUUCUAUCUCCAACGCCCACAGCUUGCCAGCUCUCUUCGCCACGUCUAUUGAUCUGGACCUCUGGGUGCCGGGUCUCAAGGGCUGAUGUCCCCUUUGACCGCCCCACUCCCCCAGAAGCCCAGGAAGACAGGUGGAGCCGGCGGGCUCGGGGCCAGGGGCUCCGGCUGAGGGAGGCGGUGGAUUUCAGUGAAGGUCCAGCCCCUGAGACAGCGUCCCCCCAUCCCACAGCUUCCUCCAUUUCCUAG